AUGUCUUCACCGCCGCCCAACCCGUCUCUUCCGCUGCCGGUCACCUCGUCGGAGGCGACCACCACGACCGUCGCCCCACUCCUGCCCGCUUUGGGAUUCUCCGCUGCGCCCUCUCCCGUCGUCCUCACCCCGGAGGAGGUGUCCGGGACGCUGCGGGACCUAACACAGGCGGUCCAGGAGAUCCGCCUGUUCUUGGCCGGGUCCUACGGGCCGCACCCGGCUGCGCCGCCCAUCACCGCCACCGCGCCACCGUGGCUGCCACCACACCAGGCGUCCCCCGCCGCGCUCGCCGGGCUGCCGCUGCAGCUGCCAUCCACCGCCCCGCCCUGGCUGCCGUGGCAGCCGCCGCACCAGGCGGCCUCCGCCGGGCUGCAGCAGCAGCCGCUGCAGCUGCCAUCCACCACCACCACCGCCCCGUCCUAG
rnacentral:rRNA from 1 species